UAAAUAUCUAAAUUUAAGUAUAUUAUUUACAAUAAUAAGAUGUUUUUAACUUUAUUUAUAUUUAAAUAAUUAAUAAUUUUAAUUUUAGAUUUAU
rnacentral:tRNA from 1 species